UGCCAGCAGCCGCGGUAAUACGGAGGGUGCAAACGUUGCUCGGAAUCACUGGGCGUAAAGCGCUCGUAGGCGGUUUGUCAAGUUAGGUGUGAAAUCCCCGGGCUCAACCUGGGACGUGCACUUAAAACUGGCAGGCUAGAGUCUGGGAGGGGAUAGCGGAAUUCCGGGUGUAGAGGUGAAAUUCGUAGAUAUCCGGAGGAACACCAGAGGCGAAGGCGGCUAUCUGGACCAGUACUGACGCUGAGGAGCGAAAGCGUGGGGAGCAAACAGGAUUAGAUA
rnacentral:rRNA from 1 species